UACACGACGUGUGAGGACACGCCCUAUUGAUUGAUUGUUUUUCUUGCAGCCCCGGAAAAUGAACCUUGGCCUGGAAUUGGCCCAAAAACCUCCAUAUAUUUUACCAAGAACUGAAUGUGCCAAGCUUGCUAGUAAGAGAAAGAAAGAAAAGAGGAAGGAAGAGAAAAGAAAAGAAAGAAGGAAAAGAGAAACACUGGGUUAAUGUAGUUAUGAACAGGUGACCAUGUCAAGAGUGCAUGACAAACAGACUGAGGACCAGGCAUCAUCAGAUAGCUCUACAGUCCUAAUGAUCUCAACCACCUCGGGAGGAUGCAGAAGUCUCAGCUGCUGAGCAGUAAAAGCGUUCAACACCCCGGGAGGGCUUCCAUUUCCAAGGUGACCGAGCGAAAACCCAGGCCCGCGCAGCCGCCACGCGCGCAGCCGCGCACCUGUCCGCAGCCGACGCACCGGCAGCCGCAGGUUUCCCAGCGCUGUCAAUCACUGCAGGUGAAUUGCCCUGCGCGGGCGCGGUGUAACCUUCCUCUUCCUUGUCCGAGCUCAGCUUCCGAGCACCAGGCCCGGCGGAGAAACCUCGGGACCCACGGCACAGGCGGGCGCAGACACACAGACCGGGUCGCAACGUGAGAAUUGCAGGUGGAGGGGGGCCAGCCGAGCCAACUGCACCUGAGCUGGGAUCAGAACCAUGGUGGAGGCCUGCGGUUUAGGAAAACAAGAGUGAGUUUUGAAUAUUGUUCACUCUCGAAGACGGUGAUGUGUCACAGUGCCCAGGUGUGAAGAUCCAGGGAGCAGCACAUGUUCCCUGUGGUCAGCCGCUGUCCAGGAGGGGAUGACCCCCUUUCUGCCAUGUCAUCAGAAGGCCCGUUGCAGCCUGGUGCUGCAUCACGAUGCCUGUGUCGUUCUCCCCUCUUCCUCUCAUCACACAGGCAUUUUAUCUUCUCACAUCAUCACCAGAAGAAGGUCACUUGGAAAAUCUGAAAAUCAGUGAACCACUCAUCUGCAUAAUUUCCAGGACACCUUCCAUCUCUACAAUUCGAUGUGUGUGUGUGACCCAAAGUAAUACAGCAG